rnacentral:rRNA from 1 species
GAUGAACGCUGACAGAAUGCUUAACACAUGCAAGUCAACUGUGCUGUACGGGUGAGUAACGCGUACAGAACUUGCCUCACUGAUAGGGACCACGUUUGGAAACGAAUGCUAAUACCUGAUAUUGUGAGAGCGCUUUGCGUCCCAUUCGCUAGUUGGAGAGGUAACGGGUCACAAAGGCGAUGAUGGGUAGCCGGCCUGAGAGGGUGAUCGGGCACAAGGGAACUGAGACACAGGCCGUACGCCUACGUGAGCCAGCGGUGGGGAAUAUAGGACAAUGGACCAAAGUGUGAACCAGCAAUUCUGUGUGCAAGAUGAAGUUUUCGGAAUGUAAAGGGCAUUCAGUUGAGAAGCAGUACCAACAGAAGAAGCACCGGCUAACUACGUGCCAGCAGCCGCGGUAAUUC